GGACUUGUCAGAAGUUCUAUAAGUAAAGUUGAGAGUGAUUGAAGAGUGUAAAAAAUAGUUUAUUCAUUAAAAGGGCAUUCUGGGUUUCUAAGGUAGCAACAUCUUCUUGUUGAUUUUGAGGGUUCAUUCUUUUCUUUUCUUGAUUUACUUUAAUACACCCCUUUCUUAGACAUAGCUGUAAGUGAUGGUGACGGUUUGAGAGUAAUUGAGAAGUUUAGGGAUGACAACUUCUACCAUUAGAAGAAGAAAAUGGAGCUCUUAUUGGCUUUAUUAGACCUUUGGGACAUUGUUGAUGAAAGUAAAGACCCUCCAAGUGAAGAUGCUGAUGUGAAGGUGAAGAAAGAG
rnacentral:lncRNA from 1 species